rnacentral:rRNA from 1 species
UACGGGGGGGGCAAGCGUUGUUCGGAAUUACUGGGCGUAAAGGGCUCGUAGGUGGCCAACUAAGUCAGACGUGAAAUCCCUCGGCUUAACCGGGGAACUGCGUCUGAUACUGGAUGGCUUGAGGUUGGGAGAGGGAUGCGGAAUUCCAGGUGUAGCGGUGAAAUGCGUAGAUAUCUGGAGGAACACCGGUGGCGAAGGCGGCAUCCUGGACCAAUCCUGACACUGAGGAGCGAAAGCCAGGGGAGCAAACGGG